GAUGAACGCUGGCGGCAUGCCUAAUACAUGCAAGUCGAGCGAACAGACGAGGAGCUUGCUCCUCUGACGUUAGCGGCGGACGGGUGAGUAACACGUGGAUAACCUACCUAUAAGACUGGGAUAACUUCGGGAAACCGGAGCUAAUACCGGAUAAUAUAUUGAACCGCAUGGUUCAAUAGUGAAAGACGGUUUUGCUGUCACUUAUAGAUGGAUCCGCGCCGCAUUAGCUAGUCGGUAAGGUAACGGCUUACCAAGGCAACGAUGCGUAGCCGACCUGAGAGGGUGAUCGGCCACACUGGAACUGAGACACGGUCCAGACUCCUACGGGAGGCAGCAGUAGGGAAUCUUCCGCAAUGGGCGAAAGCUUGACGGAGCAACGCCGCGUGAGUGAUGAAGGUCUUCGGAUCGUAAAACUCUGUUAUUAGGGAAGAACAAAUGUGUAAGUAACUAUGCACGUCUUGACGGUACCUAAUCAGAAAGCCACGGCUAACUACGUG
rnacentral:rRNA from 1 species